GACGAACGCUGGCGGCGUGCUUAACACAUGCAAGUCGAGCGGGAAACUUCGGUUUCCAGCGGCGGACGGGUGAGUAACACGUGGGCAACCUGCCUCACAAUGAGGGAUAGCCUUUCGAAAGGAAGAUUAAUACCUCAUAACACAAGAGAAACGCAUGUUUCUCUUGCCAAAGAAUUUCGUUGUGAGAUGGGCCCCGCGGCGCAUUAGCUUGUUGGUGAGGUAACGGCUCACAAAGGCUUCGAUGCGUAGCCGACCUGAGAGGGUGAUCGGCCACAUUGGAACUGAGACACGGUCCAGACUCCUACGGGUGGCUG
rnacentral:rRNA from 1 species